ACAUUGGACAUUGUGCCCUUUCAGUGCCCAGCUCAUUUCUGAAUUUCUGACAGUGAGUGUCAGAGAGUGAACUCACAGCUCUAUAUAUCACUCCUCUCUCUCUCCCCUCACUGCUGCCCCGCUCUCUCUCUCUCUCUCUCUCUCUCCAUUGUUGCCCAAUUUGGAGCUGCUGCAGCUGCUACAUUCUUCCCUUUUCAGUCUCCAAGCUGUGCAGUGUGCUCCAAAAUGGCGGCCACCACCAGCUUCCCCUACCCCUCUGCAAUUUUCCUGUCAGUCCUCAUCAUUUCAGGGUUCAUGUUUCCAGAAACGGUAAAUUCAAUGGGAAUAAACUACGGCCAAAUCGCCAACAACUUACCGUCACCGGACGACGUCGUUCCGCUGGUGAAGUCCAUCGGCAUCUCCAAGAUCAAGCUGUACGACGCCGAUCCCAAAGUCCUCAAAGCCUUCGCCAACACUGGCGUCGAGUUCAUAGUGGGCCUCCCCAACGAGUACCUCUCCAAGGUCCAGGCCCCGGCCCAGGCCCAAUCCUGGGUCAAGUCCAACGUCCAGGCCCACCUCCCCGCCACCAACAUCACAAGCAUCUUCGUCGGCAACGAGGUCCUCACCCUCAACGACACGUCGUUGAGCAACAACCUCCUUCCGGCAAUGCAGAGCGUCCACUCCGCCCUCGUUGGUCUAGGCCUCGAUAAGCAAGUCGCCGUCACCACCGCCCACUCCCUCUCCAUUCUCGAGACCUCGUUUCCGCCCUCCGCCGGCGCUUUCCGCCGAGAUCUGACUAGCUGCAUCACUCCGAUCCUCAAUUUCCACGCCAAAACCGGAUCGCCAUUCCUGAUCAAUGCCUACCCUUACUUCGCCUACAAGUCGAAUCCAAAGCAGGUGCCGCUCGACUACGUCCUCUUCCAGCCGAACUCUGGCUCCGUCGAUCCCGCCACCAAUCUCCACUAUGACAACAUGCUCAUCGCCCAGAUCGACGCCGUGUACUCCGCCCUGGGCUCCCUCGGUUUCAAGAAGCUCCCGGUCCACAUCUCCGAGACCGGGUGGCCGUCGAAGGGAGACGAGGACGAGGCCGGAGCGACGCCGGAGAACGCGAAGAAGUACAACGGGAAUCUGAUCAAGCUCAUUUUCCAGAAGAAGGGAACGCCGCUCAGGCCCGGGUCGGAUCUCAACAUCUACGUCUUCGCUCUGUUCAACGAGAACAUGAAACCCGGCCCGAGUUCAGAGAGGAAUUUCGGGCUUUUUAAACCCGACGGGUCGCCUGCGUACUCAAUCGGCCUCGCGGCGGGCAACAUUUCCUUUGGUAACUCCAGUUCGAGUUCGGGUUCGGGUUCGGGUUCGAGUUCGGGCCAGGGACAGGUGAACCCGAUUAGUAACGGUAGAUCCCCGUCGGAUUUUUCCGGCACGCCAUACUUGUCCAUUUCCUCCGCCCCGGCCACAGUAAGUCCUCCCAACUUUACCUUACUGUGAAGAGUGUGAUAGUUGUAAACUGGACAGGUGUCGAUUCGUUAGUGGUCGUUCAUUCGUUGAUAAGAUUUAGAAGUGAUUUUAUUAUAAUUUUAAAGAGACUCUUUGUUUGUAACCGGUAAAUAAAAAUUCAACAAUCUAUGUGUCUUGAUCUCCUUGGGCUCAGGAGAGAUUCAAAUCUUUUAUAAUUAACAAUCCAUGUCUCUUGAUCAGGAAGAUUCUCACCUUGGCUCAGGAGAGAUCCAAAUCCUUUAUAAUCACCGGAGACGGUGGUCUCGUUGAAUUUGAUUGAGGUCGAUUUAAUAGUGACGUGGCGGUGAAUACGACGUCAUCCGGCAUGUGAUAAAAAUGGAAUUAUGUUUUUUAA